rnacentral:rRNA from 1 species
GUGGGGAAUAUUGGACAAUGGGGGGAACCCUGAUCCAGCCAUGCCGCGUGUGUGAAGAAGGCCUUUUGGUUGUAAAGCACUUUAAGCGAGGAGGAGGCUACCGAGAUUAAUACUCUUGGAUAGUGGACGUUACUCGCAGAAUAAGCACCGGCUAACUCUGUGCCAGCAGCCGCGGUAAUACAGAGGGUGCAAGCGUUAAUCGGAUUUACUGGGCGUAAAGCGCGCGUAGGUGGCCAAUUAAGUCAAAUGUGAAAUCCCCGAGCUUAACUUGGGAAUUGCAUUCGAGACUGGUUGGCUAGAGUAUGGGAGAGGAUGGUAGAAUUCCAGGUGUAGCGGUGAAAUGCGUAGAGAUCUGGAGGAAUACCGAUGGCGAAGGCAGCCAUCUGGCCUAAUACUGACACUGAGGUGCGAAAGCAUGGGGAGCAAACAGGAUUAGAUACCCUUGUAGUCC